GACGAACGCUGGCGGCGGGCUUAACACAUGCAAGUCGAACGAGAAAGGGUCCUUCGGGACCUGAGUACAGUGGCGCACGGGUGAGUAACGCGUAGACAACCUACCCCCAGGUGGGGAAUAACUACGGGAAACCGUAGCUAAUACCGCAUAAUGUCAGAUGGCCGCAUGGCUGACUGAUCAAAGCUUUAUGCGCCCGGGGAUGGGUCUGCGUUGGAUUAGCUAGUUGGUGAGGUAAUAGCUCACCAAGGCAACGAUCCAUAGCGGGUCUGAGAGGAUGAUCCGCCACACUGGCACUGAGACACGGGCCAGACUCCUACGGGAGGCAGCAGUGAGGAAUAUUGCGCAAUGGAGGCAACUCUGACGCAGCCACGCCGCGUGCAGGAAGACACCCCUCAGGGGCGUAAACUGCUUUUAUACGGGAAGAAUGCCCUGGUUACCAGGGAGUGACGGUACCGUAUGAAUAAGGACCGGCUAACUCCG
rnacentral:rRNA from 1 species